GGGGGCUUGCUCCCGGGUUAGUGGCGAACGGGUGAGUAAUAUAUCGGAACAUAUCCGGAAGUGGGGGAUAACGUAGCGAAAGUUACGCUAAUACCGCAUAUGCCCUGAUGGGGAAAGGGGGGGAUCGCAAGACCUCUCGCUUUCGGAGUGGCCGAUACCGGAUUAGCUAGAUGGUGAGGUAAAGGCUCACCAUGGCGACGAUCCGUAGCUGGUCUGAGAGGACGACCAGCCACACUGGAACUGAGACACGGUCCAGACUCCUACGGGAGGCAGCAGUGGGGAAUUUUGGACAAUGGGCGAAAGCCUGAUCCAGCCAUACCGCGUGAGUGAAGAAGGCCUUCGGGUUGUAAAGCUCUUUCAGCCGGAAAGAAAUCGCACUUUUUAAUACGGAGUGUGGAUGACGGUACCGGAAGAAGAAGCACCGGCUAACUACGUGCCAGCAGCCGCGGUAAUACGUAGGGUGCGAGCGUUAAUCGGAAUUACUGGGCGUAAAGCGUGCGCAGGCGGUUUGAUAAGCCAGAUGUGAAAUCCCCGGGCUUAACCUGGGAACUGCAUUUGGAACUGUCAGACUAGAGUGUAGCAGAGGGGGGUAGAAUUCCACGUGUAGCAGUGAAAUGCGUAGAUAUGUGGAGGAAUACCAAUGGCGAAGGCAGCCCCCUGGGUUAACACUGACGCUCAUGCACGAAAGCGUGGGGAGCAAACAGGAUUAGAUACCCUGGUAGUCCACGCCCUAAACGAUGUCAACUAGUUGUUGGGGGGAGGAGACUUCCUUUAGUAACGCAGCUAACGCGUGAAGUUGACCGCCUUGGGGGAGUACCGGUCGCAAGAUAAAACUCAAAGGAAUUGACGGG
rnacentral:rRNA from 1 species